AAGAUGCAGUGUACCCGCGGCAAGACGGAAAGACCCCGUGAACCUUUACUAUAGCUUGACACUGAACAUUGAGCCUUGAUGUGUAGGAUAGGUGGGAGGCUUUGAAGCGUGGACGCCAGUCUGCGUGGAGCCGACCUUGAAAUACCACCCUUUAAUGUUUGAUGUUCUAACGUGGAUCCGUAAUCCGGGUUGCGGACAGUGUCUGGUGGGUAGUUUGACUGGGGCGGUCUCCUCCUAAAGAGUAACGGAGGAGCACGAAGGUUGGCUAAUCCUGGUCGGACAUCAGGAGGUUAGUGCAAUGGCAUAAGCCAGCUUGACUGCGAGCGUGACGGCGCGAGCAGGUGCGAAAGCAGGUCAUAGUGAUCCGGUGGUUCUGAAUGGAAGGGCCAUCGCUCAACGGAUAAAAGGUACUCCGGGGAUAACAGGCUGAUACCGCCCAAGAGUUCAUAUCGACGGCGGUGUUUGGCACCUCGAUGUCGGCUCAUCACAUCCUGGGGCUGAAGUAGGUCCCAAGGGUAUGGCUGUUCGCCAUUUAAAGUGGUACGCGAGCUGGGUUUAGAACGUCGUGAGACAGUUCGGUCCCUAUCUGCCGUGGGCGCUGGAGAACUGAGGGGGGCUGCUCCUAGUACGAGAGGACCGGAGUGGACGCAUCACUGGUGUUCGGGUUGUCAUGCCAAUGGCACUGCCCGGUAGCUAAAUGCGGAAGAGAUAAGUGCUGAAAGCAUCUAAGCACGAAACUUGCCCCGAGAUGAGUUCUCCCUGAGACUUAGAGUCUCCUGAAGGAACGUUGAAGACGACGACGUUGAUAGGCCGGGUGUGUAAGCGCAGCGAUGCGUUGAGCUAACCGGUACUAAUGAACCGUGAGGCUUAACCUU
rnacentral:rRNA from 1 species